CUAUGAAUGAAAUGCAGUGCAAAAUAUAAGGCUGAGCUAAACCCUUUAAUGUUUUCACUUUUAAAAACAUAUUUGUUAAUAUGGCUAGUCCCUUAUACCAUCUAUAAAACAAAAUGCAAAGGAGGUCAAGAGCAAGUGGAUGUCCUUGAAGUCUGGGUAUUUGGUAAAAAAUAAAUUAAAAAAAUAAAAGAGAAAGCAAGAGGAAAAACAAUGGGUACACUUGCCCCUGAAAAUAUGAAUCUACCAGAGGCAAAAACAGUUGAUUACAUAGCAGCAAAUAAAAAGAACUGACUACCAUAGACUCAAUUAAUGAUACAUUUAAAAGUAUCUUGAUUCAUACAGAUAUACUAUUUUUCAGAGCAAGAAAGAGAAGGGGACAAUAAACAAAGAGUAAGUCUGCAUAAAUGGAGCAAUAACUAGUUUCCUUUCUUUUGCCAUGAGAAGAAACAUAGCCCUUAUACUAAAAAUAAUGACUUUCAAGCCAAAGUCCACUUUAAGAAUGUCAGAAAAGGGCACACUUUAUAAUCCUUUUUUCCUUGCAGCAAUUAUGAAAAAUUAUAAGGCAAUAUUGAAUGAGUAUAAACAGACAGCAAAGCAUGCAAUUAUGUUGCCUCUUUGUCUUCUGAUGAUAUCAUGUGCCAUUUUGCAAAAACGGAAUACCAAGAGAGGAAACUGGCCAACAGAGAUGAAAGUGCAGCAAAGAAAAGUGAUGACACCAGAAGUGAAAUGCAAAUUGAACUUGUAAAUGGAGUUACAGAAAAAAAUUGCUGACUGUGGGAAUGUCAAUAUUGCUGUUCAAGAGCCUCUAGACAUGCAACCAGAGGAACUUGCUGAAGGAGGACUUAAUGACAUCGGUGAAUAAGAGUGCUUUCAGAGAUCUCUGCCAGUGCCUGCUCGUCUUAAAAAGCUGCCAGGAGACACAGUGGUAGAGUGGAAACAACAGAAACUGCUGCCAGCAGAUCUGGGGCAUAACUGUACAUCUAUUCCUUACUGGCUAAGUGAGCCUGUAUAGAGGUUAUUUAACUUCCUUGAGACUGAGUUUGCUUAACUGUAAAAAUCAAGAUAAUAAUGCCCAUCCCAAAAGUGUGCUUGUGAGCAUUAUCUCAGAGAGUGGUCUCCACCAGGGGUGAUUUUACCCACAAGGGAACAUUUGGCAGUGUCUGGGGACAUUUUUGGCUGUCCCAUCUAGGAGGGGUGCUGCUGGCACCUAAUGGGUGGAAUGCAGAGAUACUGCUAAAUAUUCUACAAUGCACAAGACAUACCCUUACAACAAAGGAUUAUCCAGCCAAAAAUGUCAAUAGUGCCAGAGUUGAGAAAUUCAGAUAUAAGAUGAUACAAAAGUCCUUAGCAUAAUCUCUGGCACACAGUAGAUACUUACUAUGAUAGUUUCAUAUCCCAUCCUCCUUUAACUCUUUAAAGUUACUCAAUCAGCAAAUUAUCACUAAGAGAGUGCAUAUUUAUUCAUUCACUCAACAAAUAUUUACUGAGAAUGUAUACCAAUUACUGUCUAAGUGCCUGGCUCUGCUCCAUGAAAUGUACAGAGUAAAGUGAGAGACAGAUAGAAAUAACGUAGACUAUUACACCAGAUUUUGUAUGAGAAAACAAGAAUUAGAUUUCUUUAGGGGAAGUAAGCCUCAAAUGUUAGUAUUGAUGUAAAGGCUUAAAUAUUUGGAGAUAGGUAUGAGGAUGCUGCUGGGAGGAUGAAAACAUAAAGUGUGUAAAGAUGCAUUCUAAACUUGCAGGACCAAUAAUAUAUGCAUGGUAUUAUCAUGUCUCAAAGUACUCCCUUGUUUCCUCAGCAGCUAAUGCAAGAGAUACACCAAGCUGAGCAACAAGAAAAGAUCUACUGAAAGUCUCCUUGGCUUUACCAAGAAAGUUGCCGUGGACCCUUAGGUCACAUAGCCUGACCAUGCUCAGAUGAACCAAUGGUGCAACCACAGGAGGAACCUAAGUGCUCAGCUGAGAAGCAGGGACUGAAUCAAGCAGCAGACACGAUGAUAAAGUUUGGAUGUUUGUCCCCUCAAAAUCUCAUGUUAAAAUAUGACCCCAAUGUUGAGAGUGGGGUCUAAUGAGGGAGUCCUCCCAAGAAUGGCUUAGUGCCCUCCAAGAGGAAAUGGCUGGUAAUAAGUUUACACGAGAUUCGGUUGUUAAAAAGAGCCUAGCACCCCCUCCCUUCUCCCCUGCUCCCUCUCUUGCCAUGUGACACACCUG
rnacentral:lncRNA from 1 species